rnacentral:rRNA from 1 species
UGGGUGAUCUGCCCUGCACUUCGGGAUAAGCCUGGGAAACUGGGUCUAAUACCGGAUAUACCUCAUUGAUCUCCUGGUCUGGUGGUGGAAAGAUUUUAUCGGCUGGGGAUGGGCCCGCGGCCUAUCAGCUUGUUGGUGGGGUAGUGGCCUACCAAGGCUUCGGACGGGUAGCCGGCUGAGAGGGCGACCGGCCACACUGGGACUGAGAUACGGCCCAGACUCCGUACGGGAGCAG